rnacentral:tRNA from 1 species
GCCUUCGUUGUGUAGUGGUCAGGACGCUCAAUGUGUAUUGGAGAGUUCUGUGGUUCGAAUCCCGGCGAGGGCA